rnacentral:tRNA from 1 species
GCCCCAGUAGCUCAGUGGAUUAGAGCGUCUCCCUGCGGAGGAGAAGGCCAGGCGUUCGAGUCGCCUCUGGGGUA